rnacentral:rRNA from 1 species
CGAACGGCAGCACGGGAGCAAUCCUGGUGGCGAGUGGCGAACGGGUGAGUAAUAUAUCGGAACGUGCCCAGUCGUGGGGGAUAACGUAGCGAAAGCUACGCUAAUACCGCAUACGUCCUACGGGAGAAANCGGGGGAUCUUCGGACCUCGCGCCAUUAGAUGAGCCUAGGUCGGAUUAGCUAGUUGGUGAGGUAAUGGGCUCACCAAGGCGACGAUCCGUAACUGGUCUGAGAGGAUGAUCAGUCACACUGGAACUGAGACACGGUCCAGACUCCUACGGGAGGCAGCAGUGGGGAAUAUUGGACAAUGGGCGAAAGCCUGAUCCAGCCAUGCCGCGUGUGUGAAGAAGGUCUUCGGAUUGUAGAGCACUUUAAGUUGGGAGGAAGGGUAGUAACCUAAUACGUUGCUACUUUGACGUUACCGACAGAAUAAGCACCGGCUAACUUCGUG